UGGGGGAUAUUGCACAAUGGGCGAAAGCCUGAUGCAGCGACGCCGCGUGGGGGAUGAAGGCUUUCGGGUUGUGAACCUCUUUCGCUAUCGAACAAGGCCCGCUUAGGGUGGGUUGAGGGUAGGUGGAGAAGAAGCGCCGGCUAACUACGUGCCAGCAGCCGCGGUAAUACGUAGGGCGCGAGCGUUGUCCGGAAUUAUUGGGCGUAAAGGGCUUGUAGGCGGCUUGUUGCGCCUGCUGUGAAAACGCGGGGCUUAACUUCGCGCGUGCAGUGGGUACGGGCAGGCUUGAGUGUGGUAGGGGUGACUGGAAUUCCAGGUGUAGCGGUGGAAUGCGCAGAUAUCUGGAGGAACACCGAUGGCGAAGGCAGGUCACUGGGCCAUUACUGACGCUGAGGAGCGAAAGCAUGGGUAGCGAACAGG
rnacentral:rRNA from 1 species